GCGUAAUAGCUCACUGGUCGAGUCGGCCUGCGCGGAAGAUGUAACGGGGCUAAACCAUGCACCGAAGCUGCGGCAGCGACACUAUGUGUUGUUGGGUAGGGGAGCGUUCUGUAAGCCUGCGAAGGUGUGCUGUGAGGGUUGCUGGAGGUAUCAGAAGUGCGAAUGCUGACAUAAGUAACGAUAAAGCGGGUGAAAAGCCCGCUCGCCGGAAGACCAAGGGUUCCUGUCCAACGUUAAUCGGGGCAGGGUGAGUCGACCCCUAAGGCGAGGCCGAAAGGCGUAGUCGAUGGGAAACAGGUUAAUAUUCCUGUACUUGGUGUUACUGCGAAGGGGGGACGGAGAAGGCUAUGUUAGCCGGGCGACGGUUGUCCCGGUUUAAGCAUGUAGGCUGAUUGUCCAGGCAAAUCCGGAUAAUCAAGGCUGAGGUGUGAUGACGAGGCACUACGGUGCUGAAGUAACAAAUGCCCUGCUUCCAGGAAAAGCCUCUAAGCAUCAGGUAACAUUAAAUCGUACCCCAAACCGACACAGGUGGUCAGGUAGAGAAUACCAAGGCGCUUGAGAGAACUCGGGUGAAGGAACUAGGCAAAAUGGUGCCGUAACUUCGGGAGAAGGCACGCUGGUGUGUAGGUGA
rnacentral:rRNA from 1 species